rnacentral:tRNA from 1 species
GUUUUAAUAGUUUAUAUCUAAAACCUUGGUCUUGUAAAUCAAAAAUGAAAUAUAAUUUUCUUAAAACU